AACAGCUCUAUAGCACUGGUGGAUUUCAUUGCUUUUUUUUUUUUUAAGAGAGAGUUGUUUCUAUAAAACUUGCCAAAGGAUUUGAAAGAACAAACCCUAGGUUGGGAGGGUAGAUUGUGAUUUAUUUUGGAGGAGGAGGAAGAGAUCUCCUAUUCCUCUUUCUCAGUGGAAGAUGCUUGGAUAAUAACCUCCCUUAGAAGUCUGAAUGCUUGGUCCAGCAUGGCUGUCUAUGCUCUCACAGGUUUCUCGCUAGUCAGCCUGCUUAGUUUUGGCUAUUUGUCCUGGGAUUGGAUGAAACCCAGCUUGGUAACGGAUGUUUCCAUGGACCCAAUGGAGAAAUCACUCCCUCCUGCCUUUUCCAAGCCACCUCACAUCAUCUUCAUUCUGACUGAUGACCAGGGGUACCAUGAUAUUGGGUACCAUGACUCAGACAUACAGACACCAAUGCUAGACAGGCUAGCAGCAGAAGGAGUUAAACUGGAGAAUUAUUACAUCCAGCCCAUCUGUACCCCAUCAAGGAGCCAACUUAUAACGGGCAGGUACCAGAUCCACACGGGCCUUCAGCACUCCAUCAUCCGGCCCCGGCAGCCCAACUGCCUGCCCCUGGAUCAGGUCACGCUGCCCCAAAAGCUGCAGGAAGCCGGCUACUCGACGCACAUGGUGGGCAAGUGGCACCUUGGCUUCUACAAAAAGGAAUGCCUGCCCACCCGCCGAGGCUUCGACACCUUUCUGGGCUCCCUGACGGGCAAUGUGGAUUACUACACCUACGACAACUGCGAUGGACCCGGCGUCUGUGGCUAUGAUCUGCACGAAGGGGAGAACGUAGCGUGGGACCAGAGUGGGAAGUACUCAACCUUCCUCUAUGCCCAGCGAGUGAGCAAGAUCCUGGCCACCCAUAACCCCAAGGAGCCCAUCUUUAUCUAUGUGGCGUUCCAAGCCGUGCACACGCCCCUGCAGUCCCCCAAAGAGUACAUCUACCGCUACCGCUCCAUGGGCAACGUGGCUCGGCGCAAAUACGCCGCGAUGGUGACGUGUAUGGACGAGGCCGUGAGGAACAUCACCUGGGCACUCAAGAAGUUUGGUUACUAUGACAACAGCGUGAUCGUGUUCUCCACAGACAACGGCGGGCAGACAUUUUCCGGGGGAAGCAACUGGCCUCUGCGAGGCCGCAAAGGGACCUACUGGGAAGGCGGGGUCCGCGGCAUUGGCUUUGUCCACAGCCCCCUGAUCAAACGCAAGCGCCGGACCAGCUGGGCCCUGGUCCACAUCACAGACUGGUACCCUACGCUGGUGACCCUGGCAGGGGGCAACGUGUCUGAAGCCGAGGGCCUGGAUGGGUACAACGUGUGGCCGGCCAUCAGUGAGGGCAAGGAGUCCCCGCGCACCGAAAUCCUACACAACAUCGACCCCCUCUACAACCACGCCAAGCACGGCUCCCUGGAGGGCGGCUUUGGCAUAUGGAACACAGCUGUGCAGGCCUCCAUACGGGUGAGGGAAUGGAAGCUGCUGACUGGUGACCCUGGCUACAGCGACUGGAUCCCGCCUCAGAUGUUGACCAACUUCCCAGGGAGCUGGUGGAACCUGGAGCGGCUGACGGACAGCGUGCGCAAAUCCGUCUGGCUCUUCAACAUCACGGCCGACCCCUACGAGCGCGAUGACCUGUCAGACCAGCGCCCGGACGUGGUCAGGGCUCUCUUGAAGAGGCUGGCCCAUUACAACCGGACUGCGAUCCCGGUUAGGUACCCGGCCGAGAACCCCCGGGCCCACCCGGACUUCAACGGUGGUGCCUGGGGGCCAUGGGCCAGUGAGGAGGAAGCGGAGGAUUGGGAGGGAGGGGGUGGGCUGCUGAGAAAUAAAAACAAGAAGAAGAAGUGUAAGAUCUGCAAGCUGCGCUCCUUUUUCCGGAAGCUGAACACCAGGCUGAUGUCAAACCGCAUCUGAUGGGGCUGCCGCAGAGCUCCAGAUGCAGCUGCUCAAGGUGGAUGUUCCAAAUGGCCAGGACAAUGGGAGGGAGAGAGGCAGAUGGCCACAGAGACAGCAGCGCCCUCUCACUUUCCCUUGUCCCAGUGGACACAUGCACCGGGCCAGCCACGCACAACAGCCUCCAGAUGUCUUUUCCUCCGGUCUCCCCGAGAUUGAGCAACCGGUAGGGAUAGCCAUCCGGUCUGCCUGGAGCAGGUGUCCAGGUUAGGGUGGCCGAGGGAGAGUGACGGGGGUCCUGCAAUCCUGUUGAGUGGAUGUUACAUCGGUCGCAGGUUGUCGAACUGUCCAGCCCGUUCCAGUGCAAAAGAAUGAAACUUGUCUUAAGCGAUCAACCCAGGGACCAGUUCAAACGCCCCAUCCUAGGAGCAAAGCUUUAAACGCAGCUCAAACCCAGGGUACUUGAAGCUGCAUGGGGAUGUCUUCAUGUGGUUCAUAUGAGGACGGCUGGCCUGCUGAAGGCUGCUUCAGGACAGUUUUCCCUGGUUGUAUCUCUAUAAAAUGUGCUGUCACCUUAUGGAAUCCUAGUGAGUGUGCCACAUCAUGCGCCCCUGCUCUGGGAAAACAGCCUAGGGUGACCAGACAGCAAGUGUGAAAAAUCAGGACGGGGGUGGGGAGUAAUAGGAGCCUAUAUAAGAAAAAGAUCCCAAAAUCGGGACUGUCCCUAUAAAAUCGGGACAUCUGGUCACCCUAAAACAGCCUGUGCGUCCUCACUCAGCUCCGGCCACAGCUUUUUCCUGCUGAAGACUUUACGGCAGGUGGUAGCGCGGAGAAGGCGAGGGGACUUAUUUUUAUGUUGAAGGUCCCUGGCUCAGAGACUAGGCAGAGUCUGGGACAGCAAGAGAAUACUAUCCCUAAUGGACACAAAGGCAAACAGACUGUAUAUAGGCCUGGAUCAGAGUAGCCCUGAGGUGUAUUGGAGACACGUUUGCACUGAGAACUUGUGGGGCGUUAGCUGUUUCAAUAUAAAGCAACCCCAGUUUACACUCAUCUAUUGUACAGACUCAUGCAUGUACCACACACGUGGACAUGUAUGUGUGGACUCACUUACACGCCCCCCCCCAACCACAAUGGGUUUGAAAGAAGGCAGCUCCCUGAUUCUCAGCUUCCAGGGGUGUCCUCUGCGAGAUAGUCACCCCCUGCCCCACCUUUGCAGGGACAGCGACACAGCAGAGCAGCUUGCCUCAUGGCCUUGCUACCAUGUUGAUGCCAGCUCUGGAACAGAGGACCAGGUCUCUCGGACACUUGCUCUGCGCGGUCUGUUUUCCAGGGUGUGCAUGGAUUCCCAGGGGAUCCACAAGGAGCUGGUGGCAAACGCAGUGCAGCUUGGCGCCGGGGAUGUAAGGAGGGAUCAGCGUGUAGUAACACCUUGCUGGGCUGCAAACCGCCGGCGUCUCUUUUGUUUGUUCCCGGAGCAGUUCCUUACUCAACACACUCCGAUGAUGUGUUUGCAACAAACAGGCACCCACUGCUUCCCUGGCUGCCGAGUGAGUCUCCAUGAUUGCUCAGUCCUGCCAGCAAGGAGGGGACACCAUACCACCCUCCUUCCUUGGGAAUUUAACUGAGGAGAUCAUCCGAGGCCAGUCCUCUCUGAGCGCGACAGGGUGCAAAUCGCUGGUCCUCCACUUCUGCUUCCUUUUACUGCUGACCUUUCUGUGGCGUGUGUGUGAGAGAGUGUGUGCCCGUGUGUGCCACGGAGGGGGGCUGGCCAGGAAGAAAGAGGGUGCGAUGGGACAGGCCAGUGCAAACUGCUGGAGGACAGCUCAGCGGAAACAAAACAACCCACAAAAACCACGGGAAGAAAGGAGGGGUCUCAGCCUGAAAAAAUAGGCCCCUGGACUGCUUUGGCUGAAAGGUGAGGCCCUCCUUGUCAUACUCCACCUCCUCCCCUGUCUGGCUCUAGCUCUAAGAAAGUCCGUGGGUGAGAUUUAGCUAAGCCCACAGCCGCUCUACUUCUGCUUUGUCAAUAGUGGCCAUGAGGAGCUGCCCACACGCCAAGGAGAUCUGUUUGCACAGAUAUGCUGCGAUCACUCUCUUGUAAAGCUGCAGAAGCCAAAGUAUAUUUAAAACAUCAAGCCCUAGGAGCCGAGUGACAGCCAGGUUCCCACGGAGGAAGCCGGUCAGUGAGCAGCGUCUCGGCAGGCACCAGCUUUGGCACAGGAGGACUAGAGUGCUGGGAAGGGAGAGCUCAGCAUUACGGCAUCUGCCUCUCCUUGGCCAAGUCUCCCUCUCCUCGUUGACGUUCCCGCCGAGACCCAGCAGCAUCGGGCUCCUUUUUGGACUGGCUGUUCUCUCCGUCACUGAAGCGGGGAUUUGGAAGGCUGCAAAGAUGAGAUGCGGGAGGCAGCUGUCUCUAAGCACUGCUCCUUUCUCCCCCUCUUCCGCCCCAUAAAGGCCACUUGGUUGGGAAAUUGCAAGGAAGUUAGAGAGGACUUAGCAAAAUACAGGGUUUCAAAGCAAAAUGGGCCUGUUUGUUCCUCAUGACAGUUACCCCCAGCAUUCCCCAGGAUUCACUGCAGCAGCCAAGUCUCCUAUUGGUCCUUAGCAUUAGUGGUGGUGAUGCUGUCGCUGUUGUUUGCCAUGUCUGGAAUUGCCAGUGUUGCUAGCAUCCUUUGUCUCCAGCUGGGCCCAGCCACCUACCCCCCGCUGUCUCUUACUCAUUCGCCUCCAUUUUGUUCUAGG